rnacentral:rRNA from 1 species
GAUGAACGCUGGCGGCGUGCCUAAUACAUGCAAGUCGAGCGAACAGAUGAGGAGCUUGCUCCUCUGACGUUAGCGGCGGACGGGUGAGUAACACGUGGAUAACCUACCUAUAAGACUGGGAUAACUUCGGGAAACCGGAGCUAAUACCGGAUAAUAUAUUGAACCGCAUGGUUCAAUAGUGAAAGACGGUUUUGCUGUCACUUAUAGAUGGAUCCGCGCCGCAUUAGCUAGUUGGUAAGGUAACGGCUUACCAAGGCAACGAUGCGUAGCCGACCUGAGAGGGUGAUCGGCCACACUGGAACUGAGACACGGUCCAGACUCCUACGGGAGGCAGCAGUAGGGAAUCUUCCGCAAUGGGCGAAAGCUUGACGGAGCAACGCCGCGUGAUUGAUGAAGGUCUUCGGAUCGUAAAACUCUGUUAUUAGGGAAGAACAAAUGUGUAAGUAACUAUGCACGUCUUGACGGUACCUAAUCAGAAAGCCACGGCUAACUACGUG